rnacentral:rRNA from 1 species
UACAGAGGGUGCGAGCGUUAAUCGGAAUUACUGGGCGUAAAGCGCGCGUAGGCGGCUUGCAAGUCGGGUGUGAAAUCCCCAGGCUUAACCUGGGAACUGCAUUCGAGACUGCAUGGCUAGAGUAUGGGAGAGGGAAGUGGAAGUUUCCGGUGUAGCUGGUGAAAUGCGUAGAUAUCGGAAGGAACAUCAGUGGCGAAAGCGACUUCCUGGACCAAUGACUGACGCUCAUGUGCGAAAGCGUGGGGAGCAAACAGG